AAUACCCCAAUCCUGAUAAAGAAAGAGAGAGCUUCUAUCAUUAUAUUUCCCUUUGACUUCUAAAACUCGGUGAUACGUUUAUUCAAGGAUGUAUUUUGAAUAUUCAAAAUUGUCUGCGGAAGAUGUCAGUUAGGUUAAAACUACACACAAGUUCCUCAAAUCAGGAUACUUAAAACUGUCCUAAAUUACUGAAUGCUAAUUUGCUUAUAUUCAAAAUAAUGUUGUAUACUGCUCUAAAAUUUAUCCAGAUGUUUCUAGCACUAAUUGCAGACUUCUUUUUUUCUAAUUGGUUACAUCUAAAAUUUUGGUAUCUCAGCACUGUAGAUUGUUUCCUUUUUAAUUUAUCUUAUAGGUCAAUCUCUUGGCAAAGCAUAUUGGAAAAUCACCUGAACAAAUUGAAGCAGACAUCAGUCGCCCAAAAUAUUUUAGUCCAACCGAGGCUGUUGAAUAUGGGAUCAUAGACAAGGUACUAUAUAAUGAAAGGGGUAGUGAAGACCGUGGAGUAGUUUCUGACCUUAAAAAGGCACAACUUAUAUGAUUUGAUCAAAAUUGCAUUUGGCGAUUGUUGGGAGACUAAUCAGCAAAGUGGAUUGAAAGGAAGGCUGCUCCACCCAAAGGAGCCAAGAACAGAAAUGUCUUUGAAUGGGAAGCAAGGUGGUGGACAGUACCUUGAAGCUUUUAGCUAUGAAUUAUGCUGUUUCUGUGGUUAAUGUACACAAAUGACAAGCAUUGAUCGUAACCAAAUGUAUUGCGGAAAAUAUGUUUGUGCACAUGCACUCAUGCCUGUAAUUUUCAUUAUAGCUGCUCCUAAAACUGAUGAAUCACAAUGUUACAGUUAAAUUUCCAUGCCAAAUUCUCCUUUUAAGAUCUUUUGGGAGUAGGGACUGCCAAAAUAGUUUUGCAGGAUAAUGAUAUUUAGUAAAUCUAA